UACAGAGGUCUCAAGCGUUGUUCGGAUUCAUUGGGCGUAAAGGGUGUGUAGGUGGCGCGCUAAGUCGGGUGUGAAAUUUCGGAGCUUAACUCUGAAACUGCAUUCGAUACUGGCGUGCUUGAGGACUGGAGAGGAGACUGGAAUUCAUGGUGUAGCAGUGAAAUGCGUAGAGAUCAUGAGGAAGACCAGUGGCGAAGGCGGGUCUCUGGACAGUUCCUGACACUGAGGCACGAAGGCCAGGGGAGCAAACGGG
rnacentral:rRNA from 1 species